CUUUAUACAGCCAAGAGUCUUUUGUUGAAAGUAUAUCCAUAAGGCACUGAACAAGUUUGUAGGAUAGAACAAUUGGAAACAAAGAUGCAGGUAAUCUUGGAAGGAGCAGAAGCAGAAUAUCAAAUGCCAAAUGCUUACGAUCAUGAGAUGAAAGAAGAAGUGAUCCCUCAAUGAUAACCUCACAAAAAUUCUGAAUAAUCUUUGAAGUUUCCUCUUCAGAAGAGCUAGGCUUGCGACCUUUCUUAUGCUUCUUAAGAGAAUUAGAAGCUGACACCAUAUCUUCAACUUGCAAAACAGCAUCAGGUAAAAGAAUACUUACCAGGACAGGCCAGACACUGUGAAUUCUUGGUUGACAGAAAGUUGAUUCCUUCAAGCAGUUAACAAGUGAGGACAAAUGGUCUGAUGCAAAAAGUCUGCUAGGGGUAAAUGGAUAUGGCAAAAUAUUGCUGAAUAUCACACUAUCAACAGAAAUUUUAUCACGAAUUUUCAAGGCUAAAAGCAGCGCAUCAGGAUUUCCAACAUCUGUAGCUCCCUCAAACCACUCACGAAGACCAGGAGUCUCAAGUACAUGAUUCAGCAAGACAUCAGUUGGCAACUUUUCAACCAAAUCUAAA
rnacentral:misc_RNA from 1 species